rnacentral:rRNA from 1 species
UAGAGUUUGAUCAUGGCUCAGGAUGAACGCUGGCGGCGUGCUUAACACAUGCAAGUCGAACGGAGUCAUCAUUUUUGAAGCAAUUAGCUUGCUAAGAGUGGAAAUGUUGAUGACUUAGUGGCGGACGGGUGAGUAACGCGUGGGUAACCUGCCAUAUACAGGGGGAUAACACUUAGAAAUAGGUGCUAAUACCGCAUAAGCGCACAGUAUUGCAUGAGACAGUGUGAAAAACUACGGUGGUAUAUGAUGGACCCGCGUCUGAUUAGCUGGUUGGUGAGGUAACGGCCCACCAAGGCGACGAUCAGUAGCCGGCCUGAGAGGGUGGACGGCCACAUUGGGACUGAGACACGGCCCAAACUCCUACGGGAGGCAGCAGUGGGGAAUAUUGGACAAUGGGGGAAACCCUGAUCCAGCGACGCCGCGUGAGUGAAGAAGUAUUUCGGUAUGUAAAGCUCUAUCAGCAGGGAAGAAAAAAUGACGGUACCUGACUAAGAAGCCCCGGCUAACUACGUGCCAGCAGCCGCGGUAAUACGUAGGGGGCAAGCGUUAUCCGGAUUUAUUGGGUUUAAAGGGUGCGUAGGCGGAUUUUUAAGUCAGCGGUAAAAUGUCCGGGCUCAACCCGGGCCGGCCGUUGAAACUGGGGAUCUUGAGUGGGCGAGAAGUAUGCGGAAUGCGUGGUGUAGCGGUGAAAUGCAUAGAUAUCACGCAGAACUCCGAUUGCGAAGGCAGCAUACCGGCGCCCGACUGACGCUGAGGCACGAAAGCGUGGGGAUCGAACAGGAUUAGAUACCCUGGUAGUCCACGCAGUAAACGAUGAAUGCUAGUUGUCCGGUUCUUUGGGACUGGGUGACACAGCGAAAGCGUUAAGCAUUCC